AUGGGUGCUUAUGCAGCCUUCCAACUUGGUCCUCCUGUGCCCACACUCACACUGUUUCUCUUACUCUUACCUGUUCUGGUUCUACGACUCUUGUUUCCUUUCACCACAGAGUCACUGCCAAAAUGUCCUAAUAAAACACAGAAGAACGACCCUCAGGGAUUCUGUUUUGAUUCUGCUAUGCAAGACGAGAUUUCCAUCUUCCUGUGUAAGUGGAAUGACAGGCGUGCCGUGAGAGCGAUGCUCGAUCAGGGGCCUCUGGCCCUGGCCUUGGAGCCACCUGCCAUUUCCUUGUCGCAUGGGAUGAAUGAGUCUCUCAGAUAUUUCAGCUCCCGAUACCUGGUGUGCCUCUUCCCUAAAGGCCCUGUGACCCCACUCGCCCGUCCAAAGGGCAUCACAUGCCUCUUUCGGCAAUGCCAGAUCCUUAACCUACUGAGCGAGGCCAGGGACUGAACCCGCAACUUCAUGGUUCCUAGUCAGAUUUGUUUCCACUGCUUCACAAUGGGAACUCCUUCCAAAUAAUUUAGAAUGACCUUUUUUGGUUAAAAAAAAAUGUAUCUUUUUCUCUGGGAUAGGCUUUAACAUAUAAAUUUAUUUAGGAAGCCUGAUGGCUUUAUACAUUUUUUCUUCCUAAGAACAAGGUAGGCUUUCCCAUAUGUUUAGGUGUUAAUUAAUAAUCUUCAAAACUUUUUCAGAAUACACAUAUAUCUUACACAUUUGUUAGAUUAUUAAAUAGAUUACAUAUAAUCUUAGGUAUUUCAUUUUUAUUCUACUAUAAGUGCAGUCUAUUACCCCCAUAUAUUUUCUAAAUGGUUGCUGUAUCAUGAAGGUCAUUGGUUUUUAAUGUAUUUAUUUUCUACACCACCAUCUCAGGUUUUAGUUGAGUCUCUUGGGUGCACACUUGUAGCCUUUGGAAUUAUGAUAGUUUUGCCUCCUCCUUUCCAAUUUUUAAUUUUUUUCUUGUCUGUGUUGGCUAAUAUCUUCAGUACAACUACAAUUUUGAUGUAAUUAACUAUUAAUUUUCCCCACUAAGUGUGUUGGCUUUUGGACUGAAUUUUAUUUUUAGUCCAGUGGCUGAAUUUUUGAGAUUUGGAGAAAAGUCUGAAAUACAAAUCUUGAGUGAGCACACUUUACUCCCCAUGGCAGACCGCUCAGGAAGACUUUUGUUGGUGUUUCAAAGGACAGAUAAACUCAGACAAUUUUCAGCACAAUUCAUCGAAAAAUUAGAAAGGCUCUUUAAUGUUUUUUGCACACAUUAUUUUAUUUACAACAAUCGCUGCCAUUUAAAAAUUACAUGUUUUGUUCCACAAUCAGUGUUUUCUUAUUUACAAAUACUUCCAGAAAUCCCUGAAAACUUAUACUUACGUUCUCCUGUUUUAGACAGACAUCAUCCCUACAUGACACUAAAACACCUGUCUAGAGUCACGAUAGGAGAAAGCUCAACGACUCUCCUGGGGCUGCUCAGAAUUGACAUGAACGUCAUUCUUUGGCCCAAGGGGAAGGUCUGGAACUAGUCCUGAGGUAGAGUUUCAACAGCAAAGCUCAGCAGAGCACAAAGUGAAAAGUAAUCAUGAAAAAAUUAAAUGGUGAUAUUAUCAAAACAGUAGCUUGGGAAUAAUACUAUGUUAUCAGGAGAGAAAAGGAGUCCUUAGAAAUAGGACCCAGCCCUAUAAGUUUUAAAGAAAAAUACUUUACGGAAGAAGGACAAUGGCUCAGGUGACAUAAAAAAAAAUGCCCAUUGUGUUGCCUGCUUCGGUGAAAUAAAACAAACCAUCUAAGCCAAGUGACAGGGUCACCUCUGUUCACAUUUCUGGUCACAAAUGGGGAACACCAACUCUAGGAUGGCUAGAGUUCUCUCAUGUUUGUUUUCAUGCCCUUUGCACAUCCUUGCCAGCAAUCAAAACCAGAAUUUUCCAGGCAUUGCUAUUCACUAGGGUUCCCCAACGUGGGUUGUUUAACUGAGAUGAUAGACCUGGACAAGUGCAUUCAGUUCAGCUGGGCACAUAGACAUCUGGUCUGAAGCUGAGCUUUCUUGGUUUUGAAAAGGUUCAUUGGAAUUCAGAUUUGUUAAGUGGGUCAAUUUAUGGCACUCGGUGAUUCUAUGACCAGCACAGUCCUUGCUCGGAGGCUGUAGAGGUUGACGGAGGUUCAUCAGACAUUCUUUGGCUCCUCUGGGUGUGGCCCAUAUGGAUUCUGACUUGUAGCAGGGCUUUGCACUUUCUUACCACAGUUGGUUGAGUAGAGAAUGUACAUGCUUCGAAUUAGGAAAAUGCCAGCAAUGACUGCAAAAUAACUGCCAUACACUAAAAACUAAAGGAAAAACAAAGAAUUAGACACACACGAAAUAUGACCAUCUCUGUCACUGAUAAUUGCGAGGCCGUUGACUUCCUUGGAUUAUGGGGUAACUGAGACCCAGGGUCUUAAUAUGGAUCUUUUCGACUGGCACAAUACUUUCUUCUCCCCUCUUAGAAGAGCUGCUUAAGUAUGAAAGUAUAAGCAAUGUAGUAACUAAGAGUGUGGGCUCUGGAGUCAGGGUUGCUUAGAUUCAAAUUCUAGCAAAUAUCACCUAUAGUGAAUCAACACUAAAUCCCACUGAUUGAUGUGUCUAUGUUCGGAGGUUGUGCCAUGCUUUGGUAACAUCUCCAGGGAUGAACUUAAGACGCUGAGGUUACUUUUUACCUGCCUCAUCCCCUGUUACUCAGAUCCAAUGUGAAACUGGUCCAAUUUGAAGUCUCCCAGUGUUGGAGGGAAGAGGGAUCUAAACUGUGCAGCCACAUACCCAUUCCCAGUUACAUCUUGGUAAACUUUGGUACCAAAGGAUAGGAGAGAGAGGAGACAUAAGGGCACAGAAUGGCCAGGGUGUUACCUGAUAGGGACCAAAGGUAAAUGCUAACCACAGUGGUUAUUGCUCAAUGCCUACUUGGCUUUACAGUUGAUAAUGGAAGGAACGGCUUAUUUUAAAAUUGGCCUAGCCAAGGAAUUCAAGAAAUUAAGUACUGGCAACAGUAAGGGUGAAGAAACCCCCUUUGAGAUGACCUAGGCAUUCCACCUUCCCCCAGCUACCUGCAGAGGAUAAUGGAAGUGCUGUGGCUUACCUGAGUGCUGACUGGCAGCUCCAGCCCCCUCCGAUCUACUACGAUCACAGUUAUGAUGGUCUGAAUCACCAGGGCAAUGAAGGUGUUGAUUCCAAAGACCAGGGCAUAGCGUUCCACACUCAGAUUAACUGCGAUCUGAAAUCUGCCCGGAAACAGAGACUAAGUUCUUAAGAAAGAACAUCCAUGGGAUUCUGAGCUUUAAAAGACAGACACUGAGGAGAAAGCAGUGUCUUGGUAAUACCACUUUUUGUCUAAAUCUCCUCUCUUCCAGUGGAGACAAGCAGGCAGAGCAAACAAAAAAUUUAUCCUUGAAGGCCAGCUUAGAAUACACUUAAAGGAAAUACGGCAAAACUCCUCCUAGCCAAUUGAAUGCUUCCAGAAAUUAAACAUAAAGGUGCUAACUCUCACAACUUGAGAAUAGGGGAUGCUAUCUGAUUUUAGUUACUAUUUUGCAAUGAAUUUUUACCAAAAUACUAGCUAUGCCCAACCUAAGGAAUUUUUUUUGGAGAGUUAUUCUUUUCAUUGUCGAUUGCAUCAAGUUUCAAAGUCUGGUAAGUGAAUUAUUUUUUGAAGAUCCAGGUCAUGAUUGGUUGUACCACUAAGUGAUUCUAUAAUUAAUUUAUUUCUUAUAAUUAUAUAGAUUUUGAAAUCUUACUGCAAAACAUUUAGGAAAGAUGAGCAAAGCAUGUCGUUUACAAUUUGUCCUUGGAAUGCGGGGGCUGCUCCACGGCAUAUGGAGGUUCCCAGGCUAGGGGUCUAAUCAGAGCUACAGCCACCGGCUUAGCCAGAGCCACAGCAACUUGGGAUCCAAGCCGCACCUGCAACCUGCACCACAGCUCUCGGCAACGCCGGAUCCCUAACCCACUGAGCAAGGCCAAGGAUCGAACCCACAACCUCAUGGUUCCUAGUCGGAUUCGUUAACCACUGCACCACAAUGGGGGAACUCCUGAACAUUCUUAAAAUGAAAAAAUGUCACCCUACUUUAAGAAAAUUCUCAUGUGAAAAAUAACCCAAGACACAUGAGUUUGAUAGAUUAAAUUGAUAGCCUUCAGUGAAAAAAUUGAACUUGCCACAAGGUUCAUCUCUUUCCUCAGUUUCAUAAUCUCUUCUCAGGGACCAUGUAUUUCCAUGUGUGGUCGAUUACUUAUCAAGUAUUUUUCACAAAUUAAAACGCAAAACUUGAUAAAGCUUUUGGCUCUACUUCUUUCAUCUGAUGAGAAAUUCAAAUGAUUCUUGGGAGUUCCCUUCGUGGCUCAGCGGUUAACAAAACCCAACGAGGAUCCAUGAGGGUGUGGGUUCAAUCCCUGAGCUCGCUCCGUGGAUUAAGGAUCCGGCAUUGCCAUGAGCUAUGGUGUAGGCUGCAGACGUGGCUUGGAUCUGGCAUUGCUGUGGCAUAGGCUGGCAGCUACUAUUUGACCCCUAGCCUGGGAACUUCCUUAUGC
rnacentral:lncRNA from 1 species